AUUGAACGCUGGCGGCAGGCCUAACACAUGCAAGUCGAGCGAGUGGCGGACGGGUGAGUAAUGUCUGGGAAACUGCCUGAUGGAGGGGGAUAACUACUGGAAACGGUAGCUAAUACCGCAUACAAUCAGAUGUGCCCAGAUGGGAUUAGCUAGUAGGUGGGGUAAGGGCUCACCUAGGCGACGAUCCCUAGCUGGUCUGAGAGGAUGAACAGCCACACUGGAACUGAGACAAGGUCCAGCAGCAUACGGGAGGCAGCAGUGGGGAAUAUUGCACAAUGGGCGCAAGCCUUAUGCAGCCACGCCGAGUGGGUGAAGAAGGCCUUCGGGUUGUAAAGCACUUUCAGCGAGGAGGCGUUACUCGCAGAAGAAGCACCGGCUAACUCCGUGCCAGCAGCCGCGGUAAUUC
rnacentral:rRNA from 1 species